GAAUCGCCAAUGCGUGAGGGAUAGAAACGGAAAUCCUUUUAUGUUUUUUGCUAAAAACAUAAAAGAUUACAGUGCAUAGCCCGACCCGAG
rfam:Chryseobacterium bovis DSM 19482 genome assembly, contig: LX71DRAFT_scaffold00026.26